CUCUAACCAAUGCACCACCUCGGUUUGUCGGCUUGUCUCUUUUGCAUAAUCUGGGCACUUGCAACCAGUCCACAUUUACAAUGGUUGCAGCAUUCCAGGGCCACAUGGUUGCUAUUUGUGAUCUUCCCAGAGAGCUUCUGACAAGCAACGUCUAUGGAGAUUCUCAAUCAUCCAGGUCAUGGUAGUCCCAAAGGUGUUUUUUCAAGGGCCAACUGGACUUUCUGUUUUUUCUUUGAAGACAUUUCACUUCUCAUCCAAGAAGUUUCUUCAACUCUUGAGGUCUGACAAGCAAUGUCAACAGAAGCUGGAUUUGAUUAACAGCUGGGUAAUUCACUCAACAAUCAUGGCAAAAAAGACAAUAAAAGCAGGCAUGGUUCACUUAAUGGCCACAUCACUUAGCAACGGAAGUUCUGUUCCCAAUUGUGAUCAUAAGUUAUGAUCACAAUUGACCACUGCUCGCCAACACUGCUCUAACCCGUUCUCUUAGCCUUUCUCAGCUCAGUUCAGUUUGGCCCGAACUGCCAUAUGCCAAGGUGGGCUAGAUGUUCCUCCUGCAUUUUUAAACUGUCUUCUGAAAGUCUGAAGCUGAGCCCUAGGAUGCCUACACAUCUCUGUUACACAGGUUCAUUACCUCCCCAUUACAGCGUCUCUCAUCACUCAUUGGGCCAGACGCCGCUGUUCCUGGAGAAGCCAAUCCCUCUAAAUUAUGUCUCCUGCUGUUGCUGUUGCUCCCUUCACCAGUCUUAUCUGCCUAAGGUGAAAACAGUGGGAGGGCAGUCAGCCAAGUCUCUGCUCUUUUUUUUGUAUGUAGUCUGCCCCAGUGGGGUGCCUCCAGAAAUGCUGGAUCUACAACCCUCGAGAAUCUCCAGCCAACGUGCUGGGAUUGUGAUCCCUCUGUUUCUGAAG